rnacentral:rRNA from 1 species
CGUGGGGGAUAACGUAGCGAAAGCUACGCUAAUACCGCAUACGAACUCAGGUUGAAAGCGGGGGACCGUAAGGCCUCGCGCGAUUGGAGCGGCCGAUGGCAGAUUAGGUAGUUGGUGGGGUAAAGGCUCACCAAGCCUGCGAUCUGUAGCUGGUCUGAGAGGACGACCAGCCACACUGGGACUGAGACACGGCCCAGACUCCUACGGGAGGCAGCAGUGGGGAAUUUUGGACAAUGGGCGCAAGCCUGAUCCAGCCAUUCCGCGUGCAGGAUGAAGGCCUUCGGGUUGUAAACUGCUUUUGUACGGAACGAAACGCUCUGGGUUAAUACCCUGGGGUAAUGACGGUACCGUAAGAAUAAGCACCGGCUAACUACGUGCCAGCAGCCGCGGUAAUACGUAGGGUGCGAGCGUUAAUCGGAAUUACUGGGCGUAAAGCGUGCGCAGGCGGUGAUGUAAGACAGGUGUGAAAUCCCCGGGCUUAACCUGGGAACUGCAUUUGUGACUGCAUCGCUGGAGUGCGGCAGAGGGGGAUGGAAUUCCG